rnacentral:piRNA from 1 species
UGAGAAAUGUGACAUUUCAGUCUAAGUGGU